GGUUAAUCCAGCACUUGGCGAGCACUUGCUAUCGUAUGUGCUUGAUCCGUUGGGAGCCAUUUAUUAUUGGUAAUUUAUUUUCUUCUCAACCAUUUCUUCUAGCCAAGAUAGUUGGCGCUUAUAUGUGCAUCUUGGAAGUCCCGAGUUCGAAACUUUUGUCAUCCAAUUUGUUGUAUAAGAUUUUUAGUAAUACAAAUUUUAUCAAAAAAUUAUUGUAAUAAGGAAGGCACCAAAGAAGAUUCGAACAUGUAUAAUUUUUAUUACCUUGUAUAGCGCACAAAAUCAGGGAUUAAUUCCCUUGUAUAAUUUUCAUAUAUAGCCAUACUAUUCUAUAAAUCAAAGGUAAUACAAAAGAGAAAUUAUAGAAAAAAAUUCGUAUGGUAUCAGAGCCCUAAAAUUCUUCUCUCAUACCUGUAGUUGGCUUCGUGUUUUCGGCAAUUCCGAGCUAUUUGUGGUUGGCGGUGGAAUCAUAGUGGUCGGCGUGUCUGGUGGGCAUAGUUGGAUCAUUGUUCAUCGGAGUUGAAUUUGUCUGUGGUCGCAUCUCAUCUCUAUCGCGAUGUUUGAAGUUGCCCUAGUACUGUCGCAGAUUGUGGUGUUUGGUUCUGUAGUUUUUCAACAUCUUCAAGGUCAGUUCUUGUCGUUAAAGGUUGUUCCGGCACCGUCAGUAAUCAUUGGUCUCACUUCCAGCGUCGUCGAGCUCGUGGGCAAGUUGGGCUUUACGUGAGUUUAUCUGGUCACCAAUCUUCUUUCUCUGUUGCUGGGCUAAACUUAAGUGGAUUGUUGUUAUUUUUUGGGUUUGGGUUAUUUGGACUCAAGUUGUUGGUUGGAUCUGAUUUUAUUUGGGCUUGAGCUACGGGUUUAGUUUGAUUAAUUUUGAUUGAAAUUCAUUAUGUCAUUUGAAAAUGGUGAUUCUAUCUGCAUUCGCUUUACUCGAAAGAACUAUUCUUCAUGGGCUUUUAAUUUUCAGUUAUUGGUUGAGGGUAAAGGUGAUUUUUGGGGACAUAUUGAUGGGAGUCUCCCACCUCCAGAUCAAGAGAAAGACAAGGAGAAAUACCUUGACUGGAAACGAAAGAUUCUCAAAUUAUGGCUUGGAUCAUCGGAUUGGUUGAUGCUCAGAUUGUUCUUAAUCUCGGCUUUACAAGUCAGCCCGUGCUAUACGAGACUAUUUGAAGAAAAUCUACACUCAAGACAACAAUGUUCGAAGACUUCCAUUGGAGCUUGAACUGGCAAAUUUCUCUCAAGAUUAGCACUCCAUUGAAGAAUAUUACUCUGAGUUUUCUAAUCUUUGGACUGAAUACACAGAUAUUAUCUAUGCAUCUGUUUCAUCCGACGGUUUGGAGGUUGUCCAGGCUGUACAUGAAGUCACUAAGAGGGAUCAAUUUCUCAUGAAAUUGUGAGUUGAAUUUGAACCUAUCAGAUCCAGUCUUAUGAAUUGUGAAUCAAUUCCAACGUUGGAUGGCUGUUUGGGUGAAUUGCUAAGAGAGGAGCAGCGUCUUAUCACUCGUACCGCUGUAGAACAAUGGCAUAAUCAAGUAAUACCGGUUUCUGUUGCUGUGGCUCAAGGAAAAGUCAAGCAUCGGGAUAUGUCUAGUGUGUAGUGUUACAGUUGUAAGGAGUUUGGUCACAUGGCUCUUCAAUAUCCCUGAAAGGUUUGCAAUUACUACAAGAAACGUGGACAUGUCAUUAAAGAAUGUUCGAUUCGCCCUCCACGCAAGACUGGGGAAAAUUAUGUUGCUGCUGCCUCGUUCGCCUCCAAUUCUGCACCACCAUCUGCCCAUGCUCAAGUUCCAGCCUCUCCUAGUCCUAUCCAAAACUCCAUUUCUCCUGAGAUGAUCCAACAAAUGGUUAUUUCUGCAUUGUCUGCCUUGGGUGUCUGAGGUAGUUCUUCAGUUCCCCCUUCUUCUUGGUUAUUGGACUCAGGUACUUUUGAUCAUAUGACUUCUAAUCCUCGGAUGCUUAGUAAUCUUAGACCAUAUACUGGAAAUCUCAAUAUACACACUGUCGUUGGUAACACGCUUCCUAUCUCAACCAUAGGAGAUAUAUCCCCAAACUUGUCGAAUGUUUUAGUCUCUCAUAGUUUAUCAACUAAUCUUAUAUCUGUUGGUCAACUUGUUGAUAACAAUUGUACUGUCUUUUUCUUCUUUUGGUUGUUAUGUGCAGGAUCAGGUGUCCUGGAGGACGAUCAUGAGGGGGCCUGAAGAGGGACGUCUCUUUCCUAUUUCAUCGAAGCCGAUUUCAUCUUUUUCUUUAGUUUGUAAUUCUG
rnacentral:lncRNA from 1 species